rnacentral:rRNA from 1 species
UAGGGAAUCUUGCGCAAUGGGCGAAAGCCUGACGCAGCGACGCCGCGUGCGGGAUGAAGGCCCUCGGGUCGUAAACCGCUUUCGGCAGGGACGAAGCCGCAAGGUGACGGUACCUGCAGAAGAAGCCCCGGCUAACUACGUGCCAGCAGCCGCGGUAAGACGUAGGGGGCGAGCGUUGUCCGGAAUCAUUGGGCGUAAAGCGCGCGUAGGCGGCCCGGAAAGUCGGAUGUGAAAACCUGGGGCUCAACCCCAGGCCUGCAUCCGAUACUUCCGGGCUCGAGGCAGGUAGGGGAGAUCGGAAUUCCUGGUGUAGCGGUGAAAUGCGCAGAUAUCAGGAGGAACACCGGUGGCGAAGGCGGAUCUCUGGGCCUGUCCUGACGCUGAGGCGCGAAAGCUAGGGGAGCGAACAGG